ACGAACGCUGGCGGCGUGCUUAACACAUGCCAGUCGAACGCUGAAGCUUGGUGCUUGCACUGGGUGGAUGAGUGGCGAACGGGUGAGUAAUACGUGAGUAACCUGCCCUUGACUCUGGGAUAAGCCUGGGAAACUGGGUCUAAUACUGGAUACGACAUGUCACCGCAUGGUGGUGUGUGGAAAGGGUUUUACUGGUUUUGGAUGGGCUCACGGCCUAUCAGCUUGUUGGUGUGGUAAUGGCUCACCAAGGCGACGACGGGUAGCCGGCCUGAGAGGGUGACCGGCCACACUGGGACUGAGACACGGCCCAGACUCCUACGGGAGGCAGCAGUGGGGAAUAUUGCACAAUGGGCGGAAGCCUGAUGCAGCGACGCCGCGUGAGGGAUGACGGCCUUCGGGUUGUAAACCUCUUUCAGCACGGAAGAAGCGAAAGUGACGGUACGUGCAGAAGAAGCGCCGGCUAACUACGUG
rnacentral:rRNA from 1 species